CCCAAAAAUCAAAAGUCUAAGUUGUGAAGGACUCUUGACGCAAAUCAAAAUUGGCGUCCGCAUGUUGGCAUGAGCAGAAGAAAGAAUCCUUUUGGUGUGGGAUUAAGAUGUGUGUGGUAGCCCACAUCACCCUUCAUCCUCUGAUGCAUAUCUCAAAGUAUGAGAUAGAUUUUUUUUAGAUUAUUUGGGGUAGAGAAAAAUUAGAAACGAGAAGGG
rnacentral:lncRNA from 1 species